rnacentral:rRNA from 1 species
UACGUAGGGGGCAAGCGUUGUCCGGAAUCAUUGGGCGUAAAGAGCGCGUAGGCGGCCCGAUAAGUCCGCUGUGAAAGUCAAAGGGCUCAACCCUUGAAUGCCGGUGGAUACUGUCGGGCUAGAGUCCGGAAGAGGCGAGUGGAAUUCCUGGUGUAGCGGUGAAAUGCGCAGAUAUCAGGAGGAACACCAAUGGCGAAGGCAGCUCGCUGGGACGGUACUGACGCUGAGGCGCGAAAGCGUGGGGAGCAAACAGG